rnacentral:lncRNA from 1 species
UGUGGAUGGGCCUGGUGUUGUUCUCGUGAACCAAUCACUAAUGAAUAAAGGAGCCAAUCACUGGACGAGUAGGAGGGACUUGUGAACCAAUCACUAAUGAAUAAAGGAGCCAAUCACUGGACGAGUAGGAGGGACUUCCGGGUUGGAUGGAGGAACUGAGGAAGCAGGAGAGAGUUAGGUCCUUUUGGACAGGAUUAGCAUGAGGACAAGAAGUAGCUACGAGUUUCUCCCGAUUUCAAAACCACAUCCUUCAGGAUUCAACACCUGAGUAUUUAGAUUUAAUAAAGCUUACAGUAAGAUUAGGCUUUUAGUUGCUACACCCAGCAAUUGAGUUACCAUCAUUUCUGAACUAAGUUUGGAUUGUGUUUUUCUUCACACGACGGCUGGUCCAGGUUCAAGAGAGAAAGUCGCAGGACUGUGCAAAGACAAGUGGAUCCCUGGACACCAUGUCUCAAAAAACAAGUUCUGGGAGAUUCCUAUGAAGGAUCGAAGGACACCACAGAAGCCUCAACACAGAGAUGCUGACAUUCAACAACAUGGCCCCUAAUCUUGCUCUGGAGGACUGAAAAUGCCUGGAUUCCUGGCGAAAUUUGUAUGAUGAUGGGAUACUUGAAAGCUGUAGAAAUAUUGUCUUUCUGGUUUGCUCCCUGGAGAGAAAUGACUGAAUGAAGAAAUGGUAAAACAGAUGACUUCCUCCAUUGAAAGAGACAUGACAUCCAAGACUCUGCCUCUGUGGAAAAGGCUCUGUUGGGUCUUGCUUUCUAUAAGCCACACCUGAUCUCAUUUCUGGUCAAAGAAAUGGGCCCAAAUGUGAAGAGACUUAAGGUGUAACCCUGAUCAUGGUCAUGCUUUCUCUGUACACAUAAGGCAUUUAAAUUUUUCAGGGAAAAUUAUUCCAAAGAAGUGAGGAAGAGAAUCCACAAUGGAAAGAAAUCAAGCAAAUAUAAAGGGAGUCAUUGGCGCCAACAAAUUCACACUGGAUGAAACCUCUGGAGGUAAGAAGAAAGCAGAGGCUACUUAACAGUUCUUUAUACCAUAUGGAACAUUGAAUGGCUCCCAGCGCCGAAAAAACACAUGGUUCAAAGAAUGGUACAAGCUACUGAGACACUUACUUAUUAAUGGCACAUACUUAUUCCAGAUGAAUAAUACCUUGCUUGCUAGUAAUACUACAUGCCAUUAUUCUUGAAAGACUUGUCAAACAUAUAUAUCUCCUAAUCUCAAGAUACCCACACUGAAAUUAUUAACAGCUCUAAGUGUAUAAGGGAACUCCAGCCUAUAUGUGUAGGAUGUGGAUAAACUUUUCAUGAUAGUGAGCAAUUUUCUGCACAUCAUCAUGUGGGAAUGAAACAUCACCACAGACUUCAGAAUGGUGCAGAUAACUCACCUAAGACAUGAUGCAAAUCUGUUAUAAAUUCAAAUGCACUACAUAACCAACUUGACAAACUUCAGAAAGCAAAACUGUCAUAUGUAUAGGAAC